AUGGAGAGCACUCAGAGCAACAGCAGCAACAGCGUGAGGAACCAUUUCAUUCUGGUGCACGGCCUCUGCCACGGGGCCUGGUGUUGGUACAAGGUGGUCGCGGCGCUUGAGGCAGCGGGGCACCGCGUCACGGCGGUCCACCUCGCCGUUUCCGGCGCCCACCCGGCGUGCAUCGACGAGGUGCACUCGUUCGAGGAGUACUCCCGGCCGCUGCUCGACGUGGUGGCCGCGGCGCCGGAGGGUGAUGGCCAGAGGCCGAUUCUGUUCGGGCACAGCCAUGGCGGGCUCAGCUUGGCACUAGCCAUGGAGAGGUUCCCCGGCAAGGUCGCCGCCGCCGUGUUCGCAGCCGCCGGGAUGCCGUGUGUUGGCAAGCACAUGGGCAUCACCACCGAGGAGUUCAUGCGAAGAACAUCAUCUGGAAGGACUCAUGGACUGCAAGAUGCUGCCAAUCAAUAA
rnacentral:rRNA from 1 species